GGGGAAUAUUGCACAAUGGGCGAAAGCCUGAUGCAGCAACGCCGCGUGAGUGAUGAAGGCCUUCGGGUUGUAAAGCUCUGUCUUCUGGGACGAUAAUGACGGUACCAGAGGAGGAAGCCACAGCUAACUACGUGCCAGCAGCCGCGGUAAUACGUAGGUGGCAAGCGUUGUCCGGAUUUACUGGGCGUAAAGGAUGCGUAGGCGGAUACUUAAGUCAGAUGUGAAAAUCCCGGGCUUAACUUGGGAACUGCAUUUGAAACUGGGUAUCUAGAGUGCGGGAGAGGAAAGUGGAAUUCCUAGUGUAGCGGUGAAAUGCGUAGAGAUUAGGAAGAACACCAGUGGCGAAGGCGACUUUCUGGACCGUAACUGACGCUGAGGCAUGAAAGCGUGGGGAGCAAACA
rnacentral:rRNA from 1 species